UACAGAGGGUGCGAGCGUUGUCCGGAAUCACUGGGCGUAAAGGGCGCGUAGGCGGCCUGAUAAGUAGGGGGUGAAAUCCUGUGGCUUAACUGCAGGGCUGCCUCCUAGACUGUUAGGCUCGAGCACGGUAGAGGCAGAUGGAAUUCCCGGUGUAGCGGUGGAAUGCGUAGAGAUCGGGAAGAACAUCGGUGGCGAAGGCGGCAUCCUGGACCGACACUGACGCUGAGGAGCGAAAGCCAGGGGAGCAAACGGG
rnacentral:rRNA from 1 species